rnacentral:rRNA from 1 species
CGGGGGGGGGGGGCAAGCGUUGUUCGGAAUUACUGGGCGUAAAGGGCGCGUAGCGGACGAGACAGUCUUUCGUGAAAUCCCACGGGCUCAACCGUGGAACUGCGGGAGAUACUACUCGUCUUGAGUUCGGGAGAGGAGUGUGGAAUUCCCAGUGUAGCGGUGAAAUGCGUAGAUAUUGGGAGGAACACCGGUGGCGAAGGCGGCACUCUGGACCGAUACUGACGCUGAGGCGCGAAAGCUAGGGGAGCAAACGGGAUUAGAUACCCCGGUAGUCCUAGCUGUAAACGAUGAGCACUUGGUGUAGCGGGUAUCGACCCCUGCUGUGCCGGAGUUAACGCAUUAAGUGCUCCGCCUGGGGAGUACGGUCGCAAGGCUG